UUAGGAAACUUGCAGGAGAAAGCAAAAGAUAUUCAAGAGAGACUGUUUAAUUUCUCAAUCUAAACACAGAGAAAGCAAAUGGGAAGAGAACAAGGGCUCCAACAGACAAAAUAAAAGAAAUUAAGGAACAUGAUGAAGAGUUUAUCCCAAAUAAGAAGAAGAAAAACACUGAGGAUACAAGAGAGAAGAAACAGGAGCUAAGUCCCAAGGAAAAGAAGAUACCAAGUCACAAAACUCCUCCCUUGAGAAAACACUCUACUACCAACAUCCUUUCAUUGGUAGUAGUAGUAGAUAUUAGCAUUUCAUCCCAUGGAGGAUUGUGUUGAGAUAAUCAAGAAGCAGGCUUCCUGUGUCCAGAUCCUCCUUCUUCAGAAAAACCAAGGGAGAAUGACCAGGAUAUUUCACCCCCUGGAAUAUCUGAAGGGGUUAUGCCCUUUAGUGGUGUGGAGAAAAUGAAAAAAAAAAAGUGAACCAAGAACUGAACAAUGCCAUCACAGAGCAAGUCUCAUUGCAGGACAAAAAUGUAAAAAGGAACAGAGG